rnacentral:rRNA from 1 species
CGAAUGCUGACAUAAGUAACGAUAAAGCGGGUGAAAAGCCCGCUCGCCGGAAGACCAAGGGUUCCUGUCCAACGUUAAUCGGGGCAGGGUGAGUCGACCCCUAAGGCGAGGCCGAAAGGCGUAGUCGAUGGGAAACAGGUUAAUAUUCCUGUACUUGGUGUUACUGCGAAGGGGGGACGGAGAAGGCUAUGUUGGCCGGGCGACGGUUGUCCCGGUUUAAGCGUGUAGGCUGGUUUUCCAGGCAAAUCCGGAAAAUCAAGGCUGAGGCGUGAUGACGAGGCACUACGGUGCUGAAGCAACAAAUGCCCUGCUUCCAGGAAAAGCCUCUAAGCAUCAGGUAACAUCAAAUCGUACCCCAAACCGACACAGGUGGUCAGGUAGAGAAUACCAAGGCGCUUGAGAGAACUCGGGUGAAGGAACUAGGCAAAAUGGUGCCGUAACUUCGGGAGAAGGCACGCUGAUACGUAGGUGAAGCGAC